AUUGAACGCUGGCGGCAGGCCUAACACAUGCAAGUCGAACGAGUGGCGGACGGGUGAGUAAUGUCUGGGAAACUGCCUGAUGGAGGGGGAUAACUACUGGAAACGGUAGCUAAUACCGCAUACCAUCAGAUGUGCCCAGAUGGGAUUAGCUAGUUGGUGGGGUAACGGCUCACCAAGGCGACGAUCCCUAGCUGGUCUGGGAGGCUGACCAGCCAAAUUGGAACUGAGACACGGUCCAGACCCCAACGGGAGGCAGCAGUGGGGAAUAUUGGACAAUGGGGGAAAGCCUGCGGCAGCCCUGCGGCGUGUGUGAGGAAGGCCUUCGGGUUGUAAAGUACUUUCAGCGGGGAGGCGUUAACCGCAGAAGAAGCACCGGCUAACUCCGUGCCAGCCGCCGCGGUAAUAC
rnacentral:rRNA from 1 species